UCUUUCUUCUACUUAAUAUCUAAAUAAAAGAAUUUAAAAAAAUCAAAUUUAUUUUAUUUUCUCUUGCCUCCAUCUCUCUCAAUCCAAAUAAAGGGUUAGCGUGUUAAAAAUUUGUCUCCAAAUGUCGGUCAUGAAAGUUGAAUCUAGAGUGGGCUGUAGAUUUUGAAGCAAACCUAACUACCUUAUCUACCCUUGUGGUUAACAUCUUCAUUUGAUACAAUGCCAAGUGAGGUGACUAAUUGCCGUCAGUGGACAAAGUGAGAGCUUGUCUCUCUGGGUUAAUUAGAGAUUUUCUUCCUCUUGAUCUAGUGCUAAUGGGAGAGGGUCUGUGAUAGAAUCUGCUGCUUGUGAAGUUCCAGCGUUGGUUUCCAAGGGAUCUCCUUAUUUCGGCUAGCAUCUCAAGAGUAUUUCUAGUAUAAAUCAUCUGGCUACUGAGAUCCUAUCCUUUUGGUUAUAUGAGAGUGACAAGUCUGAGCUCUGCAAGCCUCUCCGAACUUCGCCAGCAUUUGCAUGCUCCUGGGUUACUGGCUCGACAUGUGCUUGCCUCUCUUGCCAAUCGGUGUCCUUGGUUUGACACAAUGUUUGGGAAAUCUAUUUAUCGGUUGGCUGUUUAGUUUGCAUGUGCUUUGGUUGGCUAAAGUUUUCCAUAUAUUACCUUCCCUGCGUGUUCAUUUUGUGGCGUCAGUAAAUCCUGGAGCAACGUCGGUGAUGAAGGGUUUGUGCCCAAAUGUUUUAGGAUUUCUUUCGAGGAUUGGAUUUUAUUUGGGUAUGGGCUUGUAAUUUAGUUAGGCCUUAUUAUAUAAUGGCUUUGGAUCAUUUAAAUUUGUUGCUAUAUUGAUAUUUUCCGAUUAAAAAAAAAAAAGGAGUGUUUGCCAUCGUGGAACACGAGCAGACCAGAGCAACAUUUUCACUCAGUGAUAUUUGUAAAGCAGUGAGAAAUGUGACCAACUCUAGACAUUCAUGUCCGGCACCAAGAAUUGUUUGGAAUCCAACAAGCUAAUUUAAUUGGUUAUCGACCCAA